rnacentral:rRNA from 1 species
ACCUACGGGGCGCAGCAGUAGGUAAUCUUCCACAAUUUACGCCCGUCUUAUGGAGCAACGCCGCGUGAGUGAAGAAGGGUUUCGGCUCGUAAAGCUCUGUUGGUAGUGAAGAAAGAUAGAGGUAGUAACUGGCCUUUAUUUGACGGUAAUUACUUAGAAAGUCACGGCUAACUACGUGCCAGCAGCCGCGGUAAUACGUAGGUGGCAAGCGUUGUCCGGAUUUAUUGGGCGUAAAGCGAGUGCAGGCGGUUCAAUAAGUCUUGUGUG